rnacentral:rRNA from 1 species
CCUACGGGUGGCUGCAGUGGGGAAUAUUGGACAAUGGGGGGAACCCUGAUCCAGCCAUGCCGCGUGUGUGAAGAAGGCCCUCGGGUUGUAAAGCACUUUCAGUGAGGAAGAACGCCUGGUGGUUAAUACCCAUCAGGAAAGACAUCACUCACAGAAGAAGCACCGGGUAACUCCGUGCCAGCAGCCGCGGUAAUACGGAGGGUGCGAGCGUUAAUCGGAAUUACUGGGCGUAAAGCGCGCGUAGGUGGCUUGAUAAGCCGGUUGUGAAAGCCCCGGGCUCAACCUGGGAACGGCAUCCGGAACUGUCAAGCUAGAGUGCAGGAGAGGAAGGUAGAAUUCCCGGUGUAGCGGUGAAAUGCGUAGAGAUCGGGAGGAAUACCAGUGGCGAAGGCGGCCUUCUGGACUGACACUGACACUGAGGUGCGAAAGCGUGGGUAGCAAACAGGAUUAGAUACCCUUGUAGUC